UAAAAAAAUAUCGAUUAAAAUAAAACUAAAUAGCGAAUAUUACAAUAUACGUAACAGACAUUAAAAAAAAAACAUAAAAUUAUCGCUUAUAAUAAAAUACAUGCCUCAUAAUUAAUCUUCAUCUUCCAAAAUAUUUUGAUGAGUUUCAUUUAAAUUAGGUGCCCGUUUCCUUCUCCAAAUAUUGAAUAAUCCCCCUGGUUUUUGUGUUCAUCGUAUUUGGUGCGGUUUCAUCUUCAGUUCCUAGUGAAAAUCUACGUUGAACAUUUACCAGAGGAACCUAUUGUGAAGAAUUUGGUGAAUUUUUCAUUGUGAAACAUUUGAUGAUGAGCACCAUAGUUGAUAUGUAUUCUACUGUGGAGCAAAUGGUGGUGAGUUCCAUUGUGGACCAUUUGAUGGUGAACUCCAAUUUGGAUCAUUUGAUGAUGAACCCCAUUCUCCAUUCUGAAACAUUUGGUGAUGAACCCAAUUGCAGAACAUUUGAUGGUGAACUCCAUCGUGGAGCAGUUGAUGAUGAACCUCACUGCAGACCAUUUGACAGUCAAUCAGAGCAGUUGAUGAUGAACCCCACUGCGGACCAUUUGAUGGUGAACUCCAAUUUGCAUUAUUUGAUGAUGAAUCCCAUUUCUAAGCAUUUGGUGAUAUGCUCAAUUGUUGAACACUUGGUGAUGAACUCCAUUGUGGCCCAUUUGAAAGAGUACCCAUUCUGCAGCACUUGGUGAAGUACCCCAUUAUGGAGCAUUUGGGGAUGUAUCCCACGAAUUACCAUCAACAUAAGGAUUCAUGUAAGGAAAACCGCCAGACAUUGGACUACCAUAAGGAAAACAACCAGAACUUGGACUCUCAAAAUGAUGACCUGUGUUGAAUUCUUUCUGACAAGUUCAUCAUCGCGUGUAUAUCUUAAUAGAGUUGGUAAAAACUGUAUUUUAUCUUCGUAAGGUUUGUCAGCUCUAGCAAUAAAAUACUUACGCCAAAAUUUGUCUUCUUUAAAUUCCUUAAUGAAUGACCAAUAAGAUUAUGUUGGAUGGAAAAUCCAUUUCUUCAAAUAUCUUCACAGCUAGAUCACACUCGUCGAAAUCCUUUUGGUCGAAUGAAGUUGGGCGUAAACUUUGGCGUUGAAACUCACAAAAACCAGUCAUCAUAUCUGUUAGCGUUCUCUCAAAAGAUUGCUUUCUUUGACUUCCUUGUGAAACACUUGCAAUGUCACACAUGAAUAUCCCACAAGUCUUUGUAAAGUACUUCCACGUCUUCCACAACCUCGUUGUGAACUCUUUAAGCAAAAAUCUGGAUUGGAUAAAACUGAUGGAGAAUUUUGGCGAGUAUAUUCGUUGAUGAUCUCAUUUGUAGUGCGUGUUUCAUCAUCAAUAUUAACGCGAUACACCUCUUCACUUUCUUGUGUCUUUAGAACUUGACUUUCAAGCAUUUAAUCAUAAUAUGUUUCUGAGUAAGUUUACCUUGGUUAUUAGUUGUGCUUUCGUUAAUAAUCUCUUCUCUUCACUUGUUUACAGAGUAUAGAGAUUGGGAUUCAAUUUUAUAUAAUCUGAAACAACGUUGCAUCACAUCCCAAAGUUUUGGCGAUUUUCGUUGAAAGGAAUGUAUAAUCUUACAUACAUGUUAUUGAAAAAAAAAUGAAAUACAUAUUCUGAACAUAAAAUUUAGUAAUCAUAUUUAGGUAGUGAGAGAUAUCCUAAAUACUUAUUUCUUUCUCUCUCCACUAUGAAUUACUUGUAUUUAUUUGAUAUGUGAUAGGAUAAAUCUUGAUACUUGUGUUAUCCCUGAGUUGUAAAUACUUCUUGUAUUUUUGUUUUCAACUGGUCAAGAUUUUCUUUGAAGAAACGAUAGUUUAUAUUGAGAUUAAAUUUCUUAUUAAAAUUUUCAACCAAAAACUCUUUACCAAGGGGUGUAGGAUCUUUUAAAAGGUAAUUAUUCAUGGAAAUUGCUUAAUCAUAUAACUCAAGAAAUAUUCUUUCUCGGCUAGGUUCUAUUUGAAAUUAUCUCGACUCUACAAGUUUUUUUUCAGUGAGUUUAUUUAAUAAAAAAAGCUUACUUAUUCUUGUUAGAUUUUCUAAAAAUUCUCUUCUUUAUUCUUUCA
rnacentral:sRNA from 1 species